GAUGAACGCUAGCUACAGGCUUAACACAUGCAAGUCGAGGGGCAGCGGUAUCGAAAGCUUGCUUUCGGUAGCCGGCGACCGGUGCACGGGUGAGUAACGCGUAUCGAACCUGCCUCAUACUCGGGAAUAGCCUUGCGAAAGUAAGAUUAAUGCCCGGUGUUUUCAGAGUCCCGCAUGAGGCUUUGAACAAAGAUUUAUCGGUAUGAGAUGGCGAUGCGUCCCAUUAGCUUGUUGGCGGGGUAACGGCCCACCAAGGCAUCGAUGGGUAGGGGUUCUGAGAGGAAGGUCCCCCACAUUGGAACUGAGACACGGUCCAAACUCCUACGGGAGGCAGCAGUGAGGAAUAUUGGUCAAUGGGCGGAAGCCUGAACCAGCCAAGUAGCGUGCAGGAAGACGGCCCUCCGGGUUGUAAACUGCUUUUAGUUGGGAAUAAAACGGGGCUCGUGAGCCCCCUUGCAUGUACCAUCAGAAAAAGGACCGGCUAAUUCCGUG
rnacentral:rRNA from 1 species